AAUAAAUAAUAAAGAACAUGAUGUUGGUUCAGAUUAAACGCUAAAUAAGGACAUGACACAUGCAAAUCAAACAUUUAUUAUUGAUAAAAUAAUAAAUAUGUGGUGUAAACGUGAGUAAUAAUAUAAGAAUUAAUGAACUAUAAAAUAGAUUAAAUAUCUAAUAAAUAUAUAUAUAUAAUAUAUAUAUAUAUAUUAAAUAAAUAUUUAUUUAAAGUAUAAUAUUUGUUUAUAGUCAAGCUUAUAAUAGUUUAGGUAGUAGGUUAAUUAAUAGUUUAUAACCUAGCCAACGAUCUAUAGUUAAUAAUGAAAGUUAUAAUAACCACGUUGACUUUGAAAUAUAGUCAAUAUCUAUAAGAUACAGCAGUGAGGAAUAUUGAACAAUGAUCGAAAGAUUGAUUCAGUUACUUAUUAGAACAAUAUAUAAUAAUAUUUAUUAAUAUAUAAUAUUAAUAUAUAAAAUAUAUAUAUAAAUUGAUUAAAAAUAAAGUUCAUAAAUAGUUUAAAUAAUGAUAUAAACUAAUCUUUUAUUAAUAAAGAUAUAUAUUUAAGUUAUUAUUAUUUAAUAAUUUUAAUUUAAAUAUAUUUUAAUAGUCCUAACCAAAAUUUGUGCCAGCAGCUGCGGUAAUACAAAGAGGGCUAGCGUUAAUCAUAAUGGUUUAAAGGAUACGUAGAAUUAAUAUAAUAUAAAAUUAUAUUUAGAGUUAAUAUAUAUUAAUUAAAGAAUUAUAAUAGUAAAGAUGAAAUAAUUAUGAUAAUUAUAAGACUGGUAUAUGUGAAAAUAUUAAUUAAUUUAUUAACUGACAUUGAGGUAUUAAGACUAGAGUAGCGAAACGGAUUCGAUACCCGUGUAGUUCUAGUAGUAAACUAUGAGUACUAUAUAUUAUAAUAUAUAUAUUUAUAAUAUAUACAUGAAAAUGUAAGUAUUCCACCUGAAGAGUACGUUAGCAAUAAUGAAACUCAAAACAAUAGACGGUUACAGACUUAAGCAGUGGAGCAUGUUAUUUAAUUCGAUAAUCCACGAUUAAUCUUACCAUAUUUUGAAUAUUUAUAUAUAUAUAAUAAUAUAUAUAUAAUUACAGGCGUUACAUUGUUGUCUUUAGUUCGUGCUGCAAAGUCUUAGAUUAAGUUCAUUAACGAACACAACUCCAUAUAUAUAAUAAUAUAUUAUAUAUAAUUAAUAUAAUUUAUUAUAAAUUAUAUUAUAAAGGAAUUAAGACAAAUCAUAAUGAUCCUUAUAAUAUGGGCUAUAGACGUGCUAUAAUAAAAUGAUAAUAAAAUUAUAUAAUAUAUAAUAAUAAUAAAAUUAUAUAUAAUUAAUAAUAUAAAACAUUUUAUAUUUUUAUAUAUUUUUAUAUAAUAUAUAAUAUGAAUUAUAAUCUGAAAUUCGAUUAUAUGAAAUAAGAAUUGCUAGUAAUACGUAAAUUAGUAUAUUACGGUGAAUAUUCUAACUGUUUCGCACUAAUCACUCAUCACGCGUUGAAAUAUAUUAUUAUCUUAAUAUAUAAUAACAUAUCUAUAUUUUUAUAUAAAUAAAUAUAUAUUAAUAUAAUAUAUAAUUAUAUAGUUGAAAUAAUAUUAAUUAAUGCGAAGUUGAAAUACAGUUACUGUAGGGGAACCUGCAGUGGGAUUAUAAAACUCUUUAAUAUUCUU
rnacentral:ncRNA from 2 species